rnacentral:rRNA from 1 species
CUACGGGGGCAGCAGUAAGAAAUAUUGGGCAAUGGACGCAAGUCUGACCCAGCCAUGCCGCGUGAAGGAUGAAGGUCCUCUGGAUUGUAAACUUCUUUUAUCUGGGGCGAAAAACACCUUUUCUAAGGUGCUUGACAGUACCAGAGGAAUAAGCACCGGCUAACUCCGUGCCAGCAGCCGCGGUAAUACGGAGGGUGCAAGCGUUAUCCGGAUUCACUGGGUUUAAAGGGUGCGUAGGCGGGCAGGUAAGUCAGUGGUGAAAUCCCCGAGCUUAACUCGGGAACUGCCGUUGAUACUAUCUGUCUUGAAUACCGUGGAGGUGAGCGGAAUAUGUCAUGUAGCGGUGAAAUGCUUAGAUAUGACAUAGAACACCAAUUGCGAAGGCAGCUCGCUACACGGUCAUUGACGCUGAGGCACGAAAGCGUGGGGAUCAAACAGGAUUAGAUACCCGGGUAGUC